rnacentral:rRNA from 1 species
AGCGGCAGACGGGUGAGUAACAUGUGGGAAUCUGCCUUUUGGUUCGGAAUAACAAGGGGAAACUUUUGCUAAUACCGGAUAAGCCUUUACAGGGAAAGUUUUAAUGCCAAAAGAUGAGCCCGCACUUGAUUAGCUAGUUGGUAAGGUAACGGCUUACCAAGACAGCGAUGGGUAGGGGCCCUGAGAGGGGGAUCCCCCACACUGGUACUGAGACACGGACCAGACUCC